UUUUUUUAAGUAAAAAAGAAUAAAAAUAUUUUUAGAAAAUAAAAAUAAAAAAUAAGAAUUAUUUUUAGAAAAACUAAAAAUGUUUUUUAAAAAAAUAAAAAAUAGAAAAAUAGAAAUUUUUUUCUAAACUCAUACAAUUUUUUAACUAAUUUUAUCAAACAUAGAAUUAAUUUUCUACAGUUUUUAUUUAUUAUUAUUCUUUUUUCCUAGCGGAGCUAAAAACAUUGAAAAAAAUAAUAAUAAAAAAUAAAACCACUGUAUUUCAUCUUGUAAUUAAAUCCAACGGCUGAGAGAAGAGCCCAGGAUUUCAUCUUGUAACCGCCCUCCCACUGUAUUUCUCCUCCGCCGCUCGCUGACUUCCGCAUAGCGUCAUUGCUCGCAAUGGCGUGGAACCAGUCCGUAUCUCUCUUCCGGAUGAUGACUUCCGUGAUGAGAAUUUAAAUUGCAUAGGAUCACAUGUUGACAAUUGAGCAUGCAUUUAACAGCAAAAUUCAAUCCGUUACCUUGGUUCGUGCUUUGGGAAGUCAUUUCUGCUCUCCUUUGAUAUCCAAUAAUCUGCUUUUUGGGUGCGUGAUGGUCCGAGAAUGAGCGAUCACUGAACUCUUCCCUUGUCUCCCAAAAUUCAGUCCAAAGUGGAGUGUGUGAGUGUGUUUGCCGGGAGAGCUCUCAAAGAGAAGAAAGGAUGCCCUCCCUAAAAUGCAAACACAUCUCUCUAUAUAUAUAUACAAAUAAAUACAUACAUACAUAUAUAUAUAUAUAUAUAUAUAUAUAUAUAUAUAUAUAUAUAUAUAUAUAUAUAUUGCACAUUACACACUUUAGUUGGACGACUUGACUUAAUGAGUCAGUCAAGUGAAUUAGGGUGAGCCCAUAAAAAAUAAAGCAACAAUAUGUGUCCAGUCCCAUUAUGGACCACAAUGCAAAAAUAAAUUAACACUGAUUUAUGAUAUUAUCAAAUUAAUUAUGUAAGUCCACACAUAAAAAUUCCAACAAUUCUCCCACUUGGACUACAUAAUCAAACAUCACAACAUAUACAUAAUCAUAAAUCAAUGUCCCAUAGAAUCUCAUCAGAAAUAAAUAAUCAAAAGCAAUCAUAUAUGCUUCAUUGCUUGAUUCAUAGGGAAAUGUACAAUAAUAACAAUUCUUUCAACAAUAACAUAGUAUUACAAUACCAAAAAAUGGCUCCCACUAACUUAAUACAACCUAGGCUUCCAACAACCCCAUUUGAGAUACAUGUUCCUGAAACGCAAUUAUGGGUAAGCUUUUUGUUAAUGGAUCCGCCAACCUACUUUUUGUGGACAUGUGUUCAAUAUCAAUAAGAGACUCUGCCACUUUCUCCUUAACAAAAUAGAACUUUACAUCAAUAUGUUUGAAGUGAUAAAUACUCCUAGUGUUCUUGGAGAAAGCAACAGCUGCGGAAUUAUCACAAAAUAAUUUCAGCGAUCUAGAAAUGGAGUCAACAACUCCUAAAGCUGAAACAAAAUUCCGCAUCCACAUAGCAUGACAACAAGCCUCAUAACAUGCCACAUACUCUGCCUCCAUAGUUGAGGAUGCUGUAAGUGUCUGCUUGACACUUUUCCAAGAUACAGCUCUUCCUGCCAUCAUAAAAAUAUAGCCCGUAGUGGAUUUCUUAUCAUCUAUGCAGCCAGCAAAAUCAGCAUCACAAAACCCAACUACAUCAAGUAAGCUGGUGCGCUGAUAUGUCAACAUUAAGUCCUUAGUUCCUUGCAAAUACCUAAGGACCUUCUUAGCUGCUUUCCAAUGUUGACUCCCAGGAUUGCUCAAGUACCUUCCUAACAUGCCCACAACAAAAGCAAUAUCAGGGCAUGUACAUACUUGAGCAUAUAUAAGGCUGCCCACCACAGAUGAAUAAGGAAUGGUCUUCAUUUCCUCUCUCUCAUCAUCAUUUUGAGGACACUGAGCUUUUGAAAAUUUAUCACCCUUCACAAUUGGCGCUUUAGUAGAUUUACAGUUGUGCAUAUUGAACCUCUUCAAUAUCCUUUCAAUAUAUGCUCUUUGAGACAAUUUAAGCACUCCAUUAGCCCUAUCACGAAGAAUCUUUAUGCCUAAGACAUAAAAAGCCUCACCAAGAUCCUUCAUGUCAAAAUGGGUUGACAACAUGUGCUUUGUCUCAAUCAACAAGUCAAGAUCAUUUUAUGCGAGUAGUAUAUCAUCAACAUAUAAAACAAGAAAUAUGUAACUACUCCCACUGACCCUCAAAUAUAUGCAUCUGUCAACUGUAUUUUUUUUAAAGCCAUUUUGGGUGAUAAUCUUAUCAAACUUCAGAUACCACUGCCUCGAAGCCUGUUUAAGACCAUAAAUGGACUUAUUGAGCUUGUAAACUAAAUCUUCCUUUCCAACUUCUACAAAACCAAUAGGUUGCUCCAUAUACACCUCCUCAUCCAAAUCACCAUUCAAGAAAGCUGUCUUGACAUCCAUCUGAUGUAGCUCCAAGUCAAAAUGAGCUACGAUGACCAUAAUCACUCUAAAAGAGUCCUUGGUUGACACAGGUGAGAAGGUUUCUUUGAAAUCAAUUCCUUCUCUUUGACUAUAACUUUUAACCACAAGUCUAGCUUUAUAUCUCUUUAUUUUCCCGCUAGAAUCACGUUUGGUCUUAAAGACCCACUUGCACCCAACUGGUUUACAACCAUGAGGCAAUUCAACCAAGUCCCAAACACCAUUCAUAUACAUAGAAUUCAUUUCAUCAUCCAUGGCUUCUUUCCAAGAUAUGAAUUGAGGACAAUGAAUUACUUCUUGGUAAGUGACUGGAUCAAAAGCAUCAUAACUAUCAUACUCAUGCUCCUGCAAAUAAACCAUAUAAUCAUCUGAAAUAGCCGGCCUACGAACCCUCUGUGAUCUUCUCAAAGGAACCUCAUUAACAACUGUAUCAUCUACAGGAAGGUCGGAUUCCACUUGAUCACCAUGCUCUCCUUGAUUAGUGGCUGGCUGUUGGACAAUAGGAACAUGAGAUGUAGGAAAAGGAAUCACAACAUGCUUUUCUCCAAAAGGUAUUUCACGAGGCAUAAAAUUUGGAUCAACAUUAACUUCAUCCUCAAAAUAUACAGCCCUGUCUGAUUCAAUGAUCCUGGUGGUAUGAGAUGGACAAUAGAAUUUGGAACUCCUUGAUCCAAUGCAAUAGCCAACAAAGAAACCACUAAUGGUUUUAGGAUCAAGUUUCUUUGACUGUGGGUUAUAGGGCCUAACCUCAGCCUUACAUCCCCAAACAUGGAAAUGGUGAAGACUGGGUUUCUUUCCUGACCAUAGCUCAUAAGGUGUCUUAGGCACAGACUUACUGGGCACUUGAUUCAAAAUAUAUGCCGCAGUCCUUAAGGCUUCACCCCAUAGAAAUUCUGGUAAAGAGGAAUUGGACAACAUGCACCUCACCAUAUCUAACAAUGUGCGAUUCCUCAUUUCUGCAACCCCAUUCUGUUGAGGAGUGCCUGGCAAUGUAUAUUUCGCAUCAAUGCCACAUUCCAACAGAAACUUAGCAAAUGGUCCAGGAUUCCGUCCAGUCUCAUCAUAUCUCCCAUAAUACUCGCCACCUUUAUCAGACUUCACAGCUUUAAUGGGCUUUCCCAACUGCAACUCCACCUUAGCCUUAAAGGCUUUGAACACAUUCAGGGAGUCAGAUUUCUCAUGGAUUAGUUCAACAUAACCAAAUCUAGAGAAAUCAUCAAUAAAAGUGAUGAAAUAUCUAUAACCCCCUAAAGCAGUUGGUGACAAAGGACCACAUAUAUCUGUGUGGAUCAAGUCUAAAGUACUUCCACACCUAUCAAUCUUCUCCUUUCUGGUCUUUGCUGUCAUCUUCCCCUUUAAGCAAACAACACAAGUUUCGAAGUCUGAGAAAUCAAGAUUAGAAAGCACACCAUCUUUCACCAAUCUCUCUAAUCUUUGCCUAGAAAUAUGACCUAGGCGUUUGUGCCACAACAUGGAAGAACUCAAAUUCAUUCUAGCACGCUUGCAACCAACAACAGAAUUAACAGAGGAUGAAUCACAUAAUAAACCAUGAUGCAAACUGAGACUAUAAAGAUUUCCAAACAAAACACCAUUGCCAAUUAAGACUGAGUUGCAAAAAAUAUCCACUUUUCCACCUCCAAAGUGAAAAAAAUAACCAUGUCUAUCCAAAGAAGAUACAGAAAUCAGAUUCCUCCUAAGUGAGGGUAUAAAAGCCACAUUGUGUAACAACAAAAAGCUUUAUGUGAUCAACUUCAGCUUUAUCAUGCCAAAAAAUUCCACUUUCACUUUGCUUCCGUCACCCAUAUACACACAUUCUUCAUGCUUUGACGACUUCCUUCUGUUUGUCAUCUCCUGCAAAGAAUUAGUGACAUGAAUAGUGGCACCAGUAUCUAACCACCAAGAAUUGGCAUGAACAUCAACAAUAUUUGUCUCAAUCAUGUUUGCAUUCAAAUUAACCACAACCACAAUUUCACCUUUCUUUUUCUUCUCUAGCCAAAUUUUAAAUUUGAAGCAAUCAACUUGCUUGUGGCCAAUCUUAUGGCAAAAGUUGCACUUCCCCUUGAAUUUCUCACUCUUUGCAGGAUUAGAAGAAACAGAUGCGUUGGAGGUUCCUUGAUUUGAAUUCCCUUUCCUCUUGAACUGCUUAGAGCCUCCAAAAUUCUUGUGUGGAGGUUUUUUCUUCACAUUACUGGCUUGAUUUGUUAUAAGAGCAAGGGAGUGAGUCUCAUUUUUCUUCAGUGAGACUUCAUGUUGCACUACAAUGGACAUCAACUCCUCUAGAGUCCAUUCUUCCUUCAAGGCAUUGUAAGUCAACUUCACUGCAUCAAAGGAAGCAGGAAGAGACUCAAGUAUCAACCAUUUCAGAAAAUUUUCACCCAACUCCACUUUCAUCUCAUUUGCCUUGUUGAAGUAGUGCCUUAGCUUGAUGAUAUGAUCCCUAACCCCACUAACUCCAUCAUAUACAGUAGUUGUGAGAAGCUUCAAAUGAGUUGCCAUUUCAGCCUUAUCAACUUUGGUAUAAUUGACCUUCACAUAUUCCAAGAAGUCUUUGGCCCGCAUUCUUUGAUAGAUUUAUCCAUAGUGAAUUUCAUCACCAUCAAACAACUCCUGUUGGAGUGCUCUCAUCUUUCAUAAAAUAAUCUUUCAUCUGCAGAGCUCACAUCAGUGAGCUUACUUGGCUCAUCAACCCUCAAAGCCAAGUCCAGAUUUUGCAGAGUCAUAUGCACGUUAAAGGACUCAAACCAUUCUUCAAAAUUAUUUCCAGUAAGAGGUUUGAUGGCAGACAAUUGCAGAGAAAUACCAGGAUUGCUGGUAGCUGGAAAAUAGCAAAAUUCAACAGUAUGCAUAUUAUUACAAUAUCAUGCAUUUGCUAAUUUCCAUAAUUUCUCAAUUUAGCAAUAGCUUGGAAUUUUAAAAAUUCCACGGCGGUAAGGACAACUAAUUAAAUAUUACAACCAAGAUGUACUAAUUUUAUUACCGAAAGGGCAAAGAAAAUUAGUACGGUUCAUAAUAUACAAUUAAUUUCCUUCACCAAUCUAAGCAUCCUACCAAGCAUUGUUAUCAUCGAUAGGACAAUUACAAUACCCGUAUGGAUCUUAGUAAUCACAAUAAUAAAACGAUUAAAUGCGGGAGUUAAAUUAUCUCAGCAAAGACAAUUUGACACAUAUAGGGUCACGAUAGGCAACCACAUAUAUGUUCACAAUUGUCAUGAAUAAAAUUCAAAAUAUCUUAAUUUUCACAAUUUGACACACUUGGAAUUGCCAUAGGCAAUCACACAAGUGUGCUUCAUUGCCUCAAUAAAUUGAAAUAUUUAACAAAAUUUACAUAGGACAACAUUAUCGAUAUAAGGAAAAAUUAUACCAUAAAGAACAAUAAUAAUAAUAAUUGUCCCAAUAAAGUCAAAUUUAACAAAUGUAUAAUAAUUCUAGCAUAUGCACAAUCAAUCCAAGAAUACCAAGGCAACAAAAAAAAAAAAAAUUGUUUUUUUUAUGACGUCAUCACAUCACUAUUCACCUUCUCCUCCAGCUGAGCACGGCCUGGUUCUGGAGAAGAAAAAAAAAAAUUUUCCACCCAAAAUUUCACGCAUUUUUCGUCAAAAAUACAUAGAUUUCCAUCCUCAAACAUCAAUUCUUUAAUCCAAACCCAAAAAAUUGCACAAAAAACGCAUAAUAGCAAGAACCAAACAAGCCCUAAUUUUCGAAAUAUCAUCAAAUGAGCUCCAAAAAUCACAAAAUUUGAUGGGUUUUGCUUCAAACAAUAUUCUCUACAAGUUUCCAACAACAAUCAGGCUUGAAAACAGAGAAUCAACAUCAAACGAGAAAUAAAAUUCAAAAAAAAUUGCUUCCACAACAGGAAACGAGAAACCCAAAAAUUAACCCAAAAUUGCAGCUCAAAUAUCAAUCAUGCUUGCUUUGAUACCAAUUGAUGAGAAUUUAAAUUGCAUAGGAUCACAUGUUGACAAUUGAGCAUGCAUUUAAUAGAAAAAUUCAAUCCGUUACCUUGGUUCGUGCUUUGGGAAGCCAUUUCUGCUCUCCUUUGAUAUCCAAUAAUCUGCUUUCCGGGUGCGUAAUGGUCCGAGAAUGAGCGAUCAAUGAACUCUUCCCUUGUCUCCCAAAAUUCAGUCCAAAGUGGAGUGUGUGAGUGUGUUUGUCGGGAGAGCUCUCAAAGAGAAGAAAGGAUGCCCUCCCUAAAAUGCAAACACACACACACACACACACAUAUAUAUAUAUAUAUAUAUAUAUAUUGCACAUUACACACUUUAGUUGGACGACUUGACUUAAUGGGUCAGUCAACACACACAUAUAUAUAUAUAUAUUGCACAUUACACACUUUAGUUGGACGACUUGACUUAAUGGGUCAGUCAAGUGAAUUAGGGUGAGCCCAUAAAAAAUCAAGCAACAAUAUGUGUCCAAUCCCAUUAUGGACCACAAUACAAAAAUAAAUUAACACUGAUUUAUAAUAUUAUCAAAUUAACAUAAAAAUUCCAACAUUUCGCAUAGCGUCAUUGCUCGCGAUGGCGUGGGACCAGUCCGUAUCUCUCUUCCGGAUGAUGACUUCCACACAGCGUCAUUGCUCGCGAUCGCGCGGGAUCAAUUUCUCCUAUAAAACCACUCAGAACUGCUAUCUCUCUG
rnacentral:lncRNA from 1 species